CGGAGACACCCGGCAGCAACGGUCCCGCAAGGGUGGGGAACUGGGCAGGGAGGGGCAGACAGGGCUCCUACGCGCACCUUCUGGGAACACAACUGUGGCAGCUCGCUCGCCCCGGAGGCGCGCAGGGUCGUCCCCCCUCCCCGGAUACCGGAAAGUCUCUUCUCUUUUUCGUAUCAAAAAAAGCCCGGUGAAGACUCUGCAGAACCCAGGAAGCGCAGAAUCGGGAGAAAGUCUUUGGCUGGGGCUGGUUCAAGACCCUGCUUCAAUGGGCUGCUGGAAGCCAGGACUGGGGUUCCUCUGAGGGUGGACUUCUUUCGCGCUCGAUAGGCCUUGAAAACUGAGUUCCUGCUCCUUAUUACAUAUCUGGGACAAUAAUGAACAGGUCAAAACAGAAAAGUCGAGUAAACUGGGAGCGAUGCUUUUCAACACGUCGCGCAGGGUGUAGUGUUGGGGGAUGUGAUUUGAGGGCAAGAAUUUUAUUGCAAUACUAGGUAGUCAGCCAGCCCGGUCCCCGGGGGCCGACCUGCAAAGUACUACGCGUUUCCGCCCCCCGACCCCCCCACAGCGGUUACACCUCUGGGAAGCAUUACCUUGCCUGAUGACUUCACACUGCUCCGGGGAAACCCACUUACUAAUUCUCCCCUACAAACCUUCAGGGCUUCAGCCUUUGUUUGAACCCUGCCUUAGGUGGUUCAACUCUUGAGAAACUGGCUUAAGUUUCAGAGCACAAUUUCAUCCACUUAAUCAGACUCCUGCUUCUUGAUUUUUAGUUGUACGGUAGUUUUUAAAUGCUAAGCUGUAAUUUAAAAUAUAUUGUCUAACUAAUGUACUCUUACAUAUAAUGUGGAUUAAACUGAUUUAGGGGGAGGGUGGACAUCAUGGAGUGUCAAGUGUCUGGCUGUGGGACCCCACAGGGGCACUUAACCUCCACUCUAAACUUCCAUGAAUAUUAUAUGUAAUGCAGGCUUGCUGAUUAUUGCUUAGUAGUGCUUAACUGUUCCUGUGCUAAUGGUUCAAGCAAUGAAAACAUUUAGUAAAACUGUGUUUCUUUAUUAAUCAAAAACACAUUUGUUGUUUGUUCCCUUGAACUUGUAAUUCAUGGCCCAUAAAGCAAAAGUAAAAUAUUUCCUCACUGCGGAUGAAUAUAAAAGCUAAUUACAUAUCCGUGCAUUUCUGUCAGUUUCUCCCCCAUCCCCCAAGAGAAUGGGAAAGAGGCUAGAGGUGAAAGUUUACAUUUAAAUUCAGGGGUGAAGAUUCCUUAAAAGCAGAAUACUGUAUCAAUCAGAUUUUCUUAGGCAGGGCAUCCAGAAUAAGAGAUUGAAUAAAUUCAAAUCCCACCUUUGAUGCGGGAUUGUUUGUGUGUUCCUGGAAGUAUAUUUUACCUCUCUAGACCUUUAUUUCCUAGUUGAUAAAUGGAGAAAAUACCUGCUUUACAAAGUUGUUAUGAUGAUAGAACGUGUGAAACUAUGUUAGGAGAUUAGUAGAGUGCCUAAGCUCUACUCUUAGGUAGAGCUUCCUAAUGUAACUUAGCGUUUCCUAAUUUAACCAUUGUCGCUAUUCAAAAACAUUAGUACCCUUCUCCUGGUUUUCUAUUUUUUAUAUUAUUCUUGAUAGGCAUUAACUGGAGUUUCAUCCUGGGCUCAUUUGUUUGACCUACUUCAGCUUCCUACUGUCCCCUCACUGUCUCUCAUAGAUUGAAUUAUUCCAUGUGCCCAUGAAUACACCCCAAACCUUCAGGUUUAACCAAAAUUCCUUUCUGGAUUCCAGGCCUGAAUUACGGCUACUAGCCAUCUAGUAUUGAUUAAUAAGCAUCAUAUUUGGAGACGGGAGAUUCAGUUUCACCAACAAGCUAUAGCUUGUUUCAACCAAUUGAAUAACAUACGAUUGUCAAUUUCAAUUUUACCUUUCUAUUUUAAACAUAAGCUGUUUGGAUCAGAAGAUGACAGAUGUUUCAGGUUUUGACACCCUAAGACAUACUUCUCCAACCUACGCUUGUUAUGGUUUCAACUAUCCAAGACAACAUAGCGAAGAACUUCAGAGGUAGGAGUUUGACCUGAGUCAACGUGAGUCUGCAACAUGCUCUUGCUAACCUCCUUCCCACAACACAGAACAAGUGUUCACCUGUCUGAGAGACCGAGUUUCCAGAAGAAGGAUUCAGUACCUUCAUACUUCUCUGUGUAAAUGGUUCUCAAACUUUUUGGUGUGAAGUCCCUCUAUACGCUCUUAAAAAUUGUUGAGGACUUCAAAAAACGUGUUUAUAUGGGUUAUAUCUAUCAAUAGACCAUAUUAGAAAUAAAAGCUGACCAAAAAUGUUUUAAAAUAUUUAUUAAUUAAUUUAAAAUAAUAAUAAACGCAAGGACUUGUCACCAUUUUUGUGAAAUGUGGCAUUGUUUUCCAUUUUUGCAAAUCUCCACUAUCUGGCUUAAUAGAAGACAGCUGGAUUCUCAUAGCCGCUUCAUCAUUCUAUUGUUUUGAUUGAAGUAUAUAAAGA